ensembl:lncRNA
GUGGUAUCACCCCCACGGAGAACAGGAGGAAGCUGGGCCCCGGGUCCAGAAACGUGGCCACGUCCCCUGCCUGGGAAGGACUGUCUGGGGAGGGGCCUCUGUGUGCUUCCAGCCUCUUUCCUGCAUCCAGGUUGAGCUGACUGGUCGGGAGGACACAGGGUGUCCUGUCCCAGGAGGAAGUGAAGCAAGCACGUGGUGUUUCUGUAGCACAGCUGUCCUGGGUCCGGGCCAGUGUACCUGCCUUCCCGGAGCCCAGGUCACGUGGCUGUCUGUCGCCACCUGCUGUCCUGUCCCAUGUGGGGAGAGACUGGCAGGGGUCUGUGCCACACUCACGUGCCCACCACCCAGGACCCGAGUCCCUCCCAGCAGGGCCUCUGGUGUGGUUUCUAGUUUCUCUGCAGGCCCUGGCACUGGGUGGUUUUAAGCUGCUGCUCCCAUGUCUCAAAGGUACCUUGCAAUUCACAGAGCCGCCUUCACACCAGCUGCACACAGCCUCCUGUUGGCUUGUUCCUGGGGCUUAAACCUAACUGAGCAGUGUUGUUCUAAGUUGCAGAGAUCAAAGACCUGGACAGCAACCUUUACCCCAUUGGCCAGAGCAACAUCAGCAAGUCAGGCAGAGGGUGUGUGCGGUUUAUUGAAGAGAUGCACAGCUGGUGACUGCAUCUGCAGAGCUGAGAACAACUGGAUCUUGUUCACACUCAGGCAGAGGAAGACUCCUGGGGUGAAGCCACACCUCCUUCUAGCCUGACGCAGACAAGGAGCUGAAAGGAGAUCUCUGAGAUCCUGCUACUGCCAUGAACCCAAAAGACCUCCGGGACUGCUCAGGUCUGUGAAGAAAGCUGAGUGCUGAAGAAUUGAUGCUUUUGAAGUAUGGUGUUGGAGAAGACUCUUGGGAGUCCCUUGGACUGCAAGGAGGUCCAGCCAGUCCAUCCUAAAGGAGAUCAGUCCUGGGUGUUCAUUGGAAGGACUGAUGUUAAAGCUGAAACUCCAAUACUUUGGCCACCUCACGCAAAGAGCGGACUCAUUGGAAAAGACCCUGAUGCUGGGAGGGAUUGGGGGCAGAAGGAGAAGGGGAUGACAGAGAACGAGAUGGCUGGAUGGCAUCACCGAGUCAAUGGACAUGAGUUUGAGUGAACUCCGGGAGUUGGCUUUGGACAGGGAGGCCUGGCAGGCUGUGAUUCAUGGGGUCGCAAAGAGUCAGACAUGACUGAGCAACUGACCUGAAUUCAACUGAACUGAACCAGGUCUGAUACCUCAGGCAGGUCCUGGCUCUACUGACCUCAAACACCUCUGCAGAUAACCAAGUUCUCUGUCAUUUCCCGUACCCACCCACACCCCAAUCAAUAAACAAACAGAUUUAGUGCUCUGGGAUCCCUCCAUAUGAGACCUGGGUUCCUUUCACUCUUACUAAAACAGGAAAAAGAAAAAAAAUUAACAACCCUUCAUGCUGCAGGAUAGACAGAGAGAGUAGUGAG